CCUGAGCCUUUCCAUGGUUUUGAUGCCUCGCCCUAUACAUCAGAUGUAGAUGUUCCCUCAUCAGUUGAUACGAGUAUCACCUCUCCAGAGCCCAAAUCAGUUGAUACGAGUAGUAUCACCUCUCCCAUUCCUUCAGACUCCCAAGCACCUGCCCAUCCCACUCCAUAGCCCAGCCACCCACUCUCAUGUACCAUAUGGCCAUCCCAGUAAGCAAGCCAACCACUAGAAUUUGGUAAGGACAUUUUUUUUUUAUUAAUGUUUUAUUAUUACAUAUGUA